AAAAGGUAGCAUAAUCAGUUGGCUUAUAAUUGAAGUCUAGUAUGAAUGGGAUACCGGGUAUCAGCUGUCUUAAUAAUAUUUAUAAAAGUUUUUUAGUAAGUGAAAAUCCUUACCAUAAGAUGAAAGACGAGAAGACCCUAGAAAUUUUAUAUAAAACAAACAUAAUCUAUUUUGUUGGGGCGACAAGGGAAUAAUUAAAUCUUCCUGUUUCUAUAUAAGUUACUAUUUAGUAGAAAGAAUAAAUUACUCUAGGGAUAACAGCAUUAUUUAUUAUUAAGUUUGUGACCUCGAUGUUGGACUAGGAAAUAAAUUACUUAGAAGGUAAUUUAUAUAGCUCUGUUCGAGCAAUUAUCUCCUACAU
rnacentral:rRNA from 1 species